AUUUUUUUGGAUCGUGUGAUAUA
rnacentral:miRNA from 1 species